GCAGGCUUAACACAUGCAAGUCGAGCGGGGUGAUGGUGCUUGCACUAUCACCUAGCGGCGGACGGGUGAGUAAUGCUUAGGAAUCUGCCUAUUAGUGGGGGACAACAUUUCGAAAGGAAUGCUAAUACCGCAUACGUCCUACGGGAGAAAGCAGGGGAUCUUCGGACCUUGCGCUAAUAGAUGAGCCUAAGUCGGAUUAGCUAGUUGGUGGGGUAAAGGCCUACCAAGGCGACGAUCUGUAGCGGGUCUGAGAGGAUGAUCCGCCACACUGGGACUGAGACACGGCCCAGACUCCUACGGGAGGCAGCAGUGGGGAAUAUUGGACAAUGGGCGCAAGCCUGAUCCAGCCAUGCCGCGUGUGUGAAGAAGGCCUUAUGGUUGUAAAGCACUUUAAGCGAGGAGGAGGCUACUUUAGAUAAUACCUAGAGAUAGUGGACGUUACUCGCAGAAUAAGCACCGGCUAACUCUGUGCCAGCAGCCGCGGUAAUACAGAGGGUGCAAGCGUUAAUCGGAUUUACUGGGCGUAAAGCGCGCGUAGGCGGCUAAUUAAGUCAAAUGUGAAAUCCCCGAGCUUAACUUGGGAAUUGCAUUCGAUACUGGUUAGCUAGAGUGUGGGAGAGGAUGGUAGAAUUCCAGGUGUAGCGGUGAAAUGCGUAGAGAUCUGGAGGAAUACCGAUGGCGAAGGCAGCCAUCUGGCCUAACACUGACGCUGAGGUGCGAAAGCAUGGGGAGCAAACAGGAUUAGAUACCCUGGUAGUCCAUGCCGUAAACGAUGUCUACUAGCCGUUGGGGCCUUUGAGGCUUUAGUGGCGCAGCUAACGCGAUAAGUAGACCGCCUGGGGAGUACGGUCGCAAGACUAAAACUCA
rnacentral:rRNA from 1 species